rnacentral:rRNA from 1 species
GAUGAACGCUGGCGGCGUGCCUAAUACAUGCAAGUCGAGCGAACAGACGAGGAGCUUGCUCCUCUGACGUUAGCGGCGGACGGGUGAGUAACACGUGGAUAACCUACCUAUAAGACUGGGAUAACUUCGGGAAACCGGAGCUAAUACCGGAUAAUAUAUUGAACCGCAUGGUUCAAUAGUGAAAGACGGUUUUGCUGUCACUUAUAGAUGGAUCCGCGCCGCAUUAGCUAGUUGGUAAGGUAACGGCUUACCAAGGCAACGAUGCGUAGCCGACCUGAGAGUGUGAGUUGCCACCCCGGAACUGAGACACGGUCCAGACUACUACGGUAGGCAGCAGUAUGGUAUCUUCCGCAAUGGGCGAAAGCCUGACGGCGCAACGCCGCGUGAGUGAUGAAGGUCUUCGGAUCGUAACACUCUGUUAUUAGGGAAGAACAAAUGUGUAAGUAACUAUGCACGUCUUGACGGUACCUAAUCAGAAAGCCACGGCUAACUACGUG